CAAUCUAUUUCUUCUCCCUUUGACCACUACAUGAAAUUUUUUUGUAUUUUCUUCCUCAUCUUUGAACUAUUGCAACUCUUCUUUCUUCUUCCAGAACUCUUCCUCUCUUCUAAGUUGAACAUUCACUUCUACUUGAGCCUUGAACAAAGCUUCCCUAUUUUUCCCAGAUGGAGAGAUUUCAAAUUGGUGCUCCCUGACUUUGAUGAUAU
rnacentral:lncRNA from 1 species